AGGGAAAAAAACAAAGUUACUUUCCAAACUUUGUAAUUAUAUAUUGAAUUUUAAAUGAUAUGAGGUAAAGGUUUCAAUAAGAAAUAAAACCAUUUUUUAAAUCAUUUUAAGUGGCAAUGUUCCUCAGAAUGAAGUCUAACUGUAAAUGGAGUUCUUAUCAGAGACGGUUUGGCUAAGAGUACUUUCUGUACGUGGACUUCUUGUAAGGGGCAGAUAAGAUUUGACUCAUGGUGCCUUAAGGCAGUUUUUCCUUCAAUUCGCUACAGUGCGGCUGGAAACCGCGUUAGGAGCGCGGACAGAGAAACGGUUACUCGGCCGGACUUCGAGUUUAAAAUAAACGAGGAACAGCGAAAACACCGAAGCUAACCGUCUCCUCUCGAUUCUUUUUAUAUACAGUAAACGGCGAUCCCAUGGUUGUAUGGAGUGGAACCCAUCUCCCAAGGAGUCCAACAAAGUCCACAAGGGCCACUGUGCAGCAGGCUUUAUGACUCUGUUUAAAUCUUCGGCUGCUCAAGAACAAGGAAAGACUUCAACUUGUCCAUUUAAGACAUUAACGAGUUCGAUUGGUUAGUUAUUGGCUUUAGUGGAUGGAAAAGCUGAAACCUUCUGGCCUCCAGGUCUGGAGCUGUGCACCCUGCGUUGUGGGAUGCAGCAGUAACAGAGGUCUGUCAGACAAUGGGUGCUGCUGUUCAUUGAUUGUCUGAGCACAGGGCACCCAAGAACAGUCAAAUGAACAUAAGAUUACAAAACAGAGCAGGACUGUUGGCCCAUUUCAUAAUUAGUAGCUAAAUGAAGGAUCCGAUCCAGUGAUUUCCUGAAAAAAGCCAGGGUAUUGACAACUGCAGCAUGGCUGGGAAGCUUAAUCCAUGCACAUAUUCCCAUUUUUGGACUGAAAAAGGAAAGGUGAGGCUCAUAUACACUUUGUGUAUAAAAUGCCAUCUACAACACACUUUCUAAUGAAAAAAGUUUAACAAUGAACUUUUACUUCAGCAUCUUAUUUAUAUAAUAAAAUAUUCAUCAUCUGUC